AUGUGGUCGGACCGGCCUUUGUCUAGGGCUGGGACGGAAACCUUGCUCAAGUCCAAGACUCAAGCUAUUCCCACGUUCAUCUCGAGUUGUUUCCGACUGCCGGUGGCGAUCUGUGAGAGGUUCCGUCAGAUUGUGGCGGAUCAGUGGUGGGGAAGGGAAGAUGGUAAGAAGAAACUUCAUUGGUGCUCUUGGGAUUGGCUCUCGACGCCGAAAUCUUUGGGCGGUAUGGGCUUCCGUGAGAUGGGGCUCUUCAACCAGGCGAUGUUGGGGAAACAAGGCUGGCGAUUACUGACUGAACCUGAGUCUCUGUGUGCUCGGGUUUUGAGAGGAAGGUAUUUCCCGUUCAGCAGCUUUUGGAAUGCGGGGGCGCCCCGUUCUGCUUCUGCGACCUGGCGUGCGAUCUUGCAUGGCCGAGACUUGCUGAAGAUGGGUGUCCAGUGGGGUAUUGGAGAUGGGAGAAGCACGCACAUUCUCACCGAUCACUGGAUCCCC
rnacentral:rRNA from 1 species